rnacentral:sRNA from 2 species
CGCCCGUCACACCAUGGGAGUUGGUAAUGCCCGAAGCCGGUUAGUUAACUUCGGAGACGACUGUCUAAGGCAGGACCGAUGACUGGGGUGAAGUCGUAACAAGGUAUCCCUACGAGAACGUGGGGAUGGAUCACCUCCUUUCUACGGAGUACAUAGACAUCUUUUUAUAAUUUGGCAUUUUAUAAUUUUUUAAUAAUUCAUAUUAUGGGCUUAGCCAAAGAGUUUUGCACUUAGUUUUGAAAGAUUUAACUUUCAAAAUAGUUCUUUGAAAACUGAAUAGCAAAUAUUUUUUAAAUAUUUCAACAACGACAUUACAAUACAAAAACCGAGUCUAACUGUAAAAAGUUAGAAUUAAAUUAGAUACCUUAGAAAUACAAAUCAAAAACAAUAGGCUUAAUAAAUAAGUUAUAUUAGCUUUUAAAUAAGUAAGAGUAUAUGGUGGAUGCCUUGGGUCUGGAAGUCGAUGAAGGACGUGAAUACCUGCGACAAGCCUCGUGGAGCUGGAUUGAGCUAUGAUACGGGGAUUUCCGAAUGGGGGAACCUAGCUGAAUAAACUUCAGUUGCUUUAUAAUGAAUACAUAGUUAUAAAGGCGAGACACGUUGUGAAUUGAAACAUCUUAGUAGCAACAGGAAAAGAAAAUAAAUAAUGAUUUCGUUAGUAGUGGCGAGCGAAAGCGAAAGAGCCCAAACCAUCAUUUUGAUGGGGUUGUAGGACAUUCUAUAUAGAGUUACAAAAAUUUAUUAUAGUUGAAAAAGUUGGGAAGCUUUGACAUAGAGGGUGAUAUCCCCGUAAACGAAAUAAUAAAUUCUCUUGAAUGUAUCCUGAGUAGGGCGGGGCACGUGAAACCCUGUCUGAAUCUGCCAGGACCACCCGGUAAGGCUAAAUACUAACCAGACACCGAUAAUGAAACA